rnacentral:rRNA from 1 species
GACGUAGGGCGCGAGCGUUGUCCGGAUUUAUUGGGCGUAAAGAGCUCGUAGGCGGUUUGUCGCGUCUGCUGUGAAAUCCCGAGGCUCAACCUCGGGCCUGCAGUGGGUACGGGCAGACUAGAGUGCGGUAGGGGAGAUUGGAACUCCUGGUGUAGCGGUGGAAUGCGCAGAUAUCAGGAAGAACACCGAUGGCGAAGGCAGAUCUCUGGGCCGUAACUGACGCUGAGGAGCGAAAGCAUGGGGAGCGAACAGG